GACUCUCGGCAACGGAUAUCUCGGCUCUUGCAUCGAUGAAGAACGUAGCCAAAUGCGAUACUUGGUGUGAAUUGCAGAAUCCCGUGAACCAUCGAGUCUUUGAACGCAAGUUGCGCCCGAAGCCAUUAGGCCGAGGGCACGCCUGCCUGGGUGUUG
rnacentral:rRNA from 1 species